rnacentral:rRNA from 1 species
AACGAACGCUGGCGGCGUGGAUGAGGCAUGCAAGUCGAACGUCUGUUUGCGUGUAGCAAUAUAUGCAAACGGAAGUGGCGUAAGGGUGAGUAAUACGUGAGUAAUCUGCCUCCAAGAUGGGCAUAACCUGGCGAAAGCCGGACUAAUUCCCAAUGUGGUCGGUUGUCACAUGACAGCCUGUCUGAAGUCGGGGACCGCAAGGCCUGACACUUGGAGAUGAGCUCGCGUCCUAUCAGCUAGUUGGUGAGGUAACGGCUCACCAAGGCUUACGGGUAGCUGGUCUGAGAGGAUGGUCAGCCACACUGGGACUGAGACACUGCCCAGACUCCUACGGGAGGCUGCAGUCGAGAAUCUUUCGCAAUGGGCGCAAGCCUGACGAAGCGACGCCGCGUGCAGGAUGAAGGUCUUCGGAUUGUAAACUGCUGUCUUUUGGGAGCAAGGAACCGUCAUUAACACCGGCGGAACUUGAUAGUACCGAAGGAGGAAGCCACGGCUAACUCUGUG